GUGAACAUAUCACUGGGAGGGUGACACACCCCAACUCCAUGGGGACAGAAGCUCCUACGCUCGGGACCCUCCCAGACCUCAUCCUGUGUAUCUCUUCACCUGGCUGUUCAUCUGUAUCGUAUCCUUUAAUAAACUGGUGAACGUCCUGGAAAACCGACAUCUCUGGCUGUGGAUGCAGGUGGGAAGGAGACAGCCCUUCACUGAUGUGGAAACUGAAGCUGAGAAAGGCAAAGCAUCUUUCCCGGGACCACAGAGCUAGCAAUGAUGAAGCUCAGGUUUGAGCAU